rnacentral:lncRNA from 1 species
GCACCUGGGUUGUCUCGAGCCUGCGGUAGUGGCCAGAUCCCAGACAUCCGAGUAGAUCCCGUGAAAAGGUCUCCCACGUGGGCUGUGGACAGGGCCCAAGGGUAGCAGAGCUAGCAGAGGCAGUGACGGACUGUGUGGCAGGUCAUUUGCAAGGAGAAAAGCCGUCUGCCUCUUAAUUUGUGGCUCAAGUUUCAGAAUUUUUUUCCUGAGGGACUUUAGAAAUUACUUCAGGCUUGCCACCUAACCUUAAACCACCCCCUUGGAGACUGGCUAAGUGUUAUUUGUGUUUUCUGUUUAGUUCUUAUCACCAUCGAUACUUGGUUAUGACUGGUUGUGUACAUUGGUUAGCCCAGCAAGUAUUACUUCUCCAGCUUAACAGAUGUGGAAACUUAAGCCCAGAGACAUGAGUUGACACCCCACCCCCAAAGCUAGAGUCUAAAACCCUUUCUUUCGCUCCUCAUCUCCCACAGGAUAAAAUGCAAAUUAAUCAGACUAGUGGUGAGGCCCUCCGUGGUGUGACUAACCUGCAUCCCGACGUUUUCACCCUACUUUGAUCCAGAAAGCACCUUUCCGCCCCAUCUCUUCUCCUUUCCUUAAAUACCCCUUACAACUUCCUGUACCAUUCUUCCCUGUUCAGCUUCUUCUUGGUUUCUUCGUACAUUCUGGAUCCACCCCUUUCAUGCAUAUUCCAGACCACAUUUCCACUGGAGCAGUUGAAAUGAGAGAGAUGGGAAUGGGACUCACCCGAACCAGAGGAAUUUUUAUUACAGACCCAUUAACAGAGGUGUCAAAGUCACAGGAACAAGGAUGUGCACCUCAGAAACACAGAGGCUAGCCUGGCUGAAGCUCAGCUGCACAGAGUCUGUCCUGAGAAGCAGAAUGCCACUGUCCCCUGGGCCCUCCAGACUGCCAAGGCUGCUCAGUUUCAGAGAGCAGGCUCCCUGUGGCCUCACACGCCGGCUGCCAGCUGGGCCAGGUAACUCUGGCCAGGCUGCACUGUGAAGAACACGAGAGUCGGCGGAGACCUGUGCCUGCUCUUCUCAGCCUCAAUGUCUGGAAGACAAAAAAAGGCAUCCUGCUCCCAAGAUUGUGGUGGAGGCCAGCAGGGUGACGCACAUGAAAGCCACUGGAGAUAGAUGGCACUUGUUCCCACCCACUGCCCACAACAGGCCCAGGACUGCCUCAGCCCCGGUGGACCCCAGAGCCAGCAGGCCCUUCAGAAUGGAAGGUGCCAAACACCAUCGGAAGGCGUGGUUCUUUUCAGAGAACCAGACUCUGAGACUGUGGCCUCCCACUAUGAGUCACCACCUCUGAUUCCUGAGGUCCCCUCCAGUCAUUGGCUCUCUCCCAAGCCAGCCAGCUGAUCAGCCUUGAG